GUGGCUCAGCGGGUUAGGGACCCAAAGUUGUCUCUUUGAGGAAUGGGUUUGAUCCCUGACCUCGAUCAGUGGGUUGAGGGUCCAGCCUUGUUGCAACGGCAAGCUGUGGCGUGGGUCGCAGAAGCGGCUUGGGUCCAGUGUUGCUGAUUUGACCCCUAAUCUGGGAAUUUAUGUAUGUUGCAGGUGCAUCUGUAAAAGAAAAAAAAAAAAGAUGAAAAAAACACCAAUCUUACAUUUAAAAAUUUUUAUUUUAUUGAAGUAUAAUCGAAUUAUAAUAUUGUGUUAAUUUCUGCUGUACAGCAAAGUGAUUCAGUUUUAUAUAUAUAUAUGUCUAUAUUUAUUCUUUUUCAUAUUCUUUUCCAUUAUGGUUUAUCACAGGGUAUUGAAUACAGUUCCCUGGGCUAUGCAGUAGCACUUUGUUGUUAUCUAUCCCACAUAUAAGUUUGUAUCUGCUAAUCCCAAAUUCCCAAUCCAUCUCUCUCCCAUCUUACAUUUUAACAAGCUUUCUAAAUUUAAGGGUGUGGGGUAUUCAUACACAAAGAACUAAAUAUAUGAUGGUAUCCCUAGUGGGUAUAUUUUUGGCACAAUCUUAGAAUAUAAACUGCGAGCAUUUCAUAUAGGUUCCUUUUUAUGGUGUAAAGUGUAACAUCAGCCAACUCUCCCAUCAACUGGUUUUCUACCUGCCAUCACUGUUCCUUAUCAUGAGGACUAAUCCUUUCAUGACUUCUCUUUUUCCAUGCCAUUGAUAUAGCAAAAUAAGAAAAGAAUGCAUUUAAAUACUCGAAUGAGCAUUGCCACUCCCUUCAAGAUGACGUCACUGGUCAAACAUCAGCUUUGGCCAGCAGGCAGGACCACCAUGCAGUAGUUUGAAGUAUUUGUUCCAUCACUGACAUGCAAAAGUCUGGGUUAGAGAAAGGUUGAAAACCUAGCUGCAAAGAUUGUACCACAGUGCCCUCUAGCCUAUAUAGCAGGAAGAAAAAUGUUUCCCCUCCUUGCUGUUCAUUUCUAGAGGUAUGUUAUUUAGCAAUAGCCUUUUAGCUAUUGCUAAAUGGGCGGACUCAAUAUAUUUGUUAUGUAAAGGGUAGUAACCUUCUGUUAAAUCCUCCCCUGCAAUGCUUUCUCUUCAAACAAACCACUUUCAAGUCACUUUCUUGCAGAGCUGGUACCCUCUUGCAGAAGAAAUAUCCAGUAUCCUAAAGUGCCAAGAGGUACAGAAACAGGGCACCACUGUGUCUCCAGACUAUCUUUGCCUGAUCAAGACAACCUAGAGAGGAGCUCCACUUCCCACCUCUCUUCCCUUCCUCUUCUGAAAAGCAGCAGUCCGUCCACUACCCUUGAACGUGGCGAAGGCAGGCAUCCUUGUUGUUACCUAAUUAUCAUUGAUCCCGAACUCUUUAUUGUCUCUUGCCCACAUCCUCUCCCUUCAUAUCAUUAUGGAAGAGGAGAAAAAUCUAUAGAUUUAAGCCUUCCUGUCUAUGUUGAUUUAAGUUCAAUAAAUAGAAUUUAAAGGGAAAAUUUAGUAUUUCCUAGAAGCUUUCUUUGAUUACUAGUUUCCUGUGCUUUUUUUUCUCCCCCACCUCCCCUUCCAGGGGAAACCUUAGAAAACUAAACCUUUAACCCCAAGAAUUUCAUUCAGUGAGACCCAUAAUAUAUAUUUUCUUUGGAGAUUGAAAGAAAGGAUUUUUAUCUUUAAAUUCUCCAAAUAGUAGAAGUAGGUAAAUAGUCGAGCAUAAUUUAUUCAGCUCUGUCACCACAUAACCUUGGAACUUUGCUAAAAAGGCCGUCUCUUUCCUGAUUAUAGAAAACAUUUAAUGGGAAAAAGUACUCCUGAGGUUUGCAGUACUUACAGACUUUUUAACUUAAAAAAAUAUACUGCUGCACAUUUACACUCUGCCAUAAAGCACUGUAAUGAAUAAUUAAAAUAAAACUAGAAUUGUCAAGAUAAAUGAUAACUAUGGAUGGCAGUACAGUGCUCUUAAUUUUUUUCCCCUGCUUUUUUGCCUUGUUGAUUUGCAUAGCAUAAUAAUAGGCAAAGGAUUUCCCACUCAUUAAAUGUGAAUUAACAAGAAAGGAUUUUAAUGGGCAUUUUGGUCUCAUUUCAGGUUUUAGCCAGUUAUUUAAUUCUGUACUCUUCUCUUGCAUUUGUUCUAAAAAAAAAAAAACCCAACUUCGUUGCUUAUAUGAAUAGUAAGUGUUUGAAGGUAAACAGAUUAGAAUUUCAUGGUAAGAAAAAUAACAUGUAGCAAUUAAUUUUUCACAUAGACAUGAAGCUUUCCCUAGUGCUCGAUUCUGAGCGUUGAAGAAAUGAGCAAGUUGGACAGAACAUGUAUCUUUACUAUUAAAUAAUUCAAAAGCAGUAAAAAGGAUAUACAUGUAGGAUCUUUCUAUUUCAUUUUGAUGUAUGAGCUCUUAAAACAAGAACAACAAUAUUUCUGUGUCUACAUCCAAAUAUGUUAAAUGAUUUCUCCAAGAAUUUUCCCCAAAGACUGUCACUCUUUCCUACAUUAGGUCAUCGGUGCUCAACAAAACAAAACAAAAGAAAACUCCGGUUCCCUCGGAAUCCCUCCCCACAUCUCUUGUGCAGCAUUCCAAAGUGGCCUGACCUGGUGACUUGAACCUCGUGUUGAUAGAACUAGCAGUUUUUGCAAGUUGUCGCCUUAUCAGGGAGCAAAAGGACUUGGCCUAAGACGAGGCCACUGAAUGACUGUUGGGAGCCUCCUCAGGGGGCCUGAGCUUCAAAGCUGAUGCUCUUCCUCUGUCUCUGUACCUUUCUUGACUUCUUUUGCCAAAACAUCCCUCAGGUCAUCUCUUUCUUCAGGGUUGGUCCCUGAUGUCACAUUGUGAAGGAGCAGACGUUUUCAUCCAUGGCUCUGCUAUCAUUGGCCUCCUCAUUGAACCUAUGGUGUAUUGAUGUGAUCAAAUUGUGCUAAACAUGUGACCCUAAAUCCAAAGCAAGGAACUGCUGAGAGUGGGCAGAGGGGUUGGGGAAGCGGAGGAGAGAAGGAAGGAUCUGAACAUUUGUUGAAUCCCUACAAAGCAUCAGGUGCUGCAUGUGUAUGACCUCGUGGAAUUGUUGUAACACCAUUGUAAGGAGUAAGGAACUGGCUUCCCAGUUUUGCAUGUGAAAGAUAUUCUUGGCUUUUGCAGCGAGGCCAGGGAUCGAACCCGCAACCUCAUGGUUCCUAGUCGGAUUCAUUAACCACUGCGCCACGACGGGAACUCUACGUAGAAAUACUUUCAUUGGGAGUUCCCAUUGUGGCUCAGGGGAAACGAAUCAGACUAGUAUCCAUGAGGCCACAGGUUUGAUGCUUGGCCUCAGUGGGUUGGGGAUCCGGCGUUGCCAUGAGCUGUGGUGUAGGUUGCAGAUGUGGUUUGGAUCUGGCGUGGCUGCUGUGGUGCAGGCCAGCGGUUACAGCUCCAAGUCGACCCCUAGCCUGGGAACCUCCAUUUGCCACGGGUGCAGUGCUCAAAAGCCCCCCCAGUCCAAAAAAAAAAAAAAAAAAAAAA
rnacentral:lncRNA from 1 species